GGAGAGUUUGAUCAUGGCUCAGAACUAACGCUUGUGGUGUGUCUUAGUCAUGCAAGUCGAACGAGAAAGUCACCCUCGGGUGACGAGUACAGUGGCAAACGGGUGAGCAACACGUGGGCAACUUGCCCCUGGGUUGGGGAUAACACUUCUAACGAGGUGCUAAUACCGAAUGGCAAGGUGGAAGAAUAUUCUAUCUUUAAAGGUGGCCUCUGCUUGCACGCUGCCGCUUGGAGAUGAGCCCACAUCCUAUUAGCUUGUUGGUAGGGUAACGGCCUACCAAGGCGAUGAUGGGUAGCCGGCCUGAGAGGGCGAACGGCCACACUGGAACUGAGACAAGGUCCAGUCCCCUGCGGGGGCCAGCAGUCUAGAAAUUUGCACAAUCGACGCAAGUCGGAUGCAGUGACGCCACGUGGAGGAUGAAGCCUUUCGGGGUGUAAACUCCUGUCAGGAGGGAAGAAAGCGCAGAUGUUAAUACCAUCUGUUGCUUGACGGUACCUUCAAAGGAAGCUCCGGCUAACUACGUGCCAGCAGCCGCGGUAAUACGUAGGGAGCGAGCGUUGUUCGGAUUUACUGGGCGUAAAGAGCACGUAGGCUGGUCGGCAAGUCGGCUGUGAAAUCCUCCGGCUCAACCAGAGAAGUGCAGCCGAAACUGCCGAUCCUGAGUCUAGCAGAGGAAAUCGGAAUCUUGGGUGUAGCGGUAAAAUGCGUAGAUAUCCAAGAGAACACCAGUGGCGAAGGCGGAUUUCUGGGCUAGUACUGACGCUGAGGUGCGAAAGCGUGGGGAGCGAACAGGAUUAGAUACCCUGG
rnacentral:rRNA from 1 species